rnacentral:rRNA from 1 species
GACGAACGCUGGCGGCGUGCUUAACACAUGCAAGUCGAACGGAAAGGCCCUGCUUUUGUGGGGUGCUCGAGUGACGAACGGGUGAGUAACACGUGAGUAACCUGCCCUUGACUUUGGGAUAACUUCAGGAAACUGGGGCUAAUACCGGAUAGGAGCUCCUGCUGCAUGGUGGGGGUUGGAAAGUUUCGGCGGUUGGGGAUGGACUCGCGGCUUAUCAGCUUGUUGGUGGGGUAGUGGCUUACCAAGGCUUUGACGGGUAGCCGGCCUGAGAGGGUGACCGGCCACAUUGGGACUGAGAUACGGCCCAGACUCCUACGGGAGGCAACAGUGGGGAAUAUUGCACAAUGGGCGGAAGCCUGAUGCAGCAACGCCGCGUGCGGGAGGACGGCCUUCGGGUUGUAAACCGCUUUCGCCUGUGACGAAGCGUGAGUGACGGUAAUGGGUAAAGAAGCACCGGCUAACUACGU